GACGAACCGAGCGAACGUUGUUCGGAAUCACUGGGCUUAAAGGGUGCGUAGGCGGAUAAUUAAGUCAGUGGUGAAAUCUUGCGGCUCAACCGUAAAAUUGCCAUUGAAACUGAUUAUCUUGAGUACAGUUGAGGUGGGCGGAAUGUAUCAUGUAGCGGUGAAAUGCUUAGAUAUGAUACAGAACACCUAUUGCGAAAGCAGCUCACUAAACUGCAACUGACGCUGAGGCACGAAAGCGUGGGGAUCAAACAGG
rnacentral:rRNA from 1 species